CUCGAAAAGCUGGACUUGAAAAUGGAGCAGGAUGUGGAUUCCAUCCUCUAGGAGAACUUAUGAUCCAAAAUGGCUGACGGAGAUCCAGCCAUCACAUCUGGGUCGUAGGCUGGAAGAAGGAGGAAAGCAGAACAUGGCUGGCAGGCCUCCAAGCUGAGUUAGCUCCAUGAACCCAUCAAAUACUGUUUCUUCAACAAAAGCCACAUCUGUCCAUAUCCCUGCAUUCUAACUGUAGAAGGGAACAGGCGAGGAGAACUCAGUGUCUUAUCAGAGGGUGCCAGAAGUAGCCAGACACCCUAGCAUCCAAGCCUGGAAGGAGGUCGCUGCCGCUGCCACCCAUCUGUCAUCAGCCCACAUCUUAGAGGCUCUCACCUUCAUCAUCCUAUUUCCAGAAAAACAUCUUCAUGCCCACACCCCAGCUCAUCCAGCCAUGGGCAGUAAGGUACCAACCUGCAGUCUCAGAUUUAUGAGUUCCUUGUUUGUCACCGCAUGCAUUCCCUUUUAUGAGCCCUCCGUGACAGGAAGAGAAGCCUAAGGAGCAUUGAAACACACCGCUAAUGGCUGUGAGGUCAAGAGAGUAUCCUCGCUUCAACAUCCGCCUCAUCACUGCCUGGCACUACUUACUAACGGUCCAUUUGACAUAGGACCAAUGAGGCCCCAGAGAGUUCACCGACAUCCUGAAGGUCACUUGGCUAACUGGCGACCAAGUCAAAAUCUCCAUCCUUCUGCGUUGUGCAGACUAUGAAAACUGAAAUAUUAAAGUAACCUCAUCUGACACCCA